AUACGGAGGGGGUUAGCGUUGUUCGGAAUUACUGGGCGUAAAGCGCACGUAGGCGGACUGGAAAGUUGGGGGUGAAAUCCCGGGGCUCAACCCCGGAACUGCCUCCAAAACUUCCAAUCUAGGGAUCGAGAGAGGUGAGUGGAAUUCCAAGUGUAGAGGUGAAAUUCGUAGAUAUUUGGAGGAACACCAGUGGCGAAGGCGGCUCACUGGCUCGAUACUGACGCUGAGGUGCGAAAGCGUGGGGAGCAAACAGGAUUAGAUACCCCAGUAGUCC
rnacentral:rRNA from 1 species